rnacentral:rRNA from 1 species
UACGGGGGGGGGUAAGCGUUGUUCGGAAUUACUGGGCGUAAAGGGCUCGUAGGCGGCCAACUAAGUCAUACGUGAAAUCCCUCAGCUUAACUGGGGGAACUGCGUGUGAUACUGGAUGGCUUGGAUUUGGGAGAGGGAUGCGGAAUUCCAGGUGUAGCGGUGAAAUGCGUAGAUAUCUGGAGGAACACCGGUGGCGAAGGCGGCAUCCUGGACCAAUAUUGACGCUGAGGAGCGAAAAGCCAGGGGGAGCAAACGGGG